AACCAACUUAAAAGACGACUUCAUGCUAUAACAAUGGCUUCUACGACUUGUUUUCUCUUUCCUUUAGCUAUGUGGGACAUGAUAAUUGGAUCAAGUUUGUCAUCACUUCCAACUUGAUUUAUUAAUCAGAAGAUGGUGGCUCAUUGUUACAACUGUUAUUAGGCGGAAAAUUUUGUCAUGCAACUGGACCCAUUGGCCUCAAGCAGCCCCAUUUCUUCUGGAGACUGUAUCCUUAGCCUCAAAUUUAUGUGUUUUUAUCGCUAAUUUGUACUUCAAAAUGAUCUGAUCUGAGAGCAAUCAUAAUUUUCAUAUGGUGCAAUUUCUUUGUAAUUAUUGUUUAAGAAAAUUCUUUUUGCUG